rnacentral:rRNA from 1 species
UUGUACCUGGUGGCGAGUGGCGAACGGGUGAGUAAUACAUCGGAACGUACCUUAUCGUGGGGGAUAACGCAGCGAAAGCUGUGCUAAUACCGCAUACGCCCUGAGGGGGAAAGCGGGGGAUCGAAAGACCUCGCGCGAUUAGAGCGGCCGAUGCCUGAUUAGCUUGUUGGUGGGGUAAAAGCCCACCAAGGCGACGAUCAGUAGCUGGUCUGAGAGGACGAUCAGCCACACUGGGACUGAGACACGGCCCAGACUCCUACGGGAGGCAGCAGUGGGGAAUUUUGGACAAUGGGGGAAACCCUGAUCCAGCAAUGCCGCGUGAGUGAAGAAGGCCUUCGGGUUGUAAAGCUCUUUUGUCAGGGAAGAAACACCGGCUCUAACACAGUCCGGGAAUGACGGUACCUGAAGAAUAAGCACCGGCUAACUACGUGCCAGCAGCCGCGGUAAUACGUAGGGUGCAAGCGUUAAUCGGAAUUACUGGGCGUAAAGCGUGCGCAGGCGGUUAUACAAGACAGGCGUGAAAUCCCCGGGCUUAACCUGGGAAUGGCGCCUGUGACUGUAUAGCUAGAGUGUGUCAGAGGGGGGUAGAAUUCCACGUGUAGCAGUGAAAUGCGUAGAUAUGAGGAGGAAUACCAAUGGCGAAGGCAGCCCCCUGGGAUAACACUGACGCUCAUGCACGAAAGCGUGGGGAGCAAACAGG